GUGUAGGCCGGGUAGGGAUCUGCCUUAUGCAAGCGUUACAUACAUUUGGUUAUAUUACCGCUAUUACGUAAAGCGGAUUACAAGGCGAAGGGAGAAAAGUGUUACAAAUUGUCGAUAUUCAGGGUACUUGUCGAUACAGUUCAUCUGGGUUACGUGAAGAAAAUAAACGAAACUGAUCAUGUUACCCGCGACUUUAGGGGAAUGGUUUUAUUAAAGUAAGGAAACCAACGCAUACCUUUAUCGCGAAUGGAAUUCUAAAUUUUUAUUGCCAGUGUUGAUCAAGCAUGUCCAUUAGAAGAAACCCUGACGAGCCAUGCUCCUCUUUCACAAGCUGCAAUUGGAGCUUGUCGCGUUUUAUGGGAAGUUUUCAUAUUUUAGAUAAGACAGUAAUCAUAAAAGUGUGUUAAG